GUAAACGGCGGCCGUAACUAUAACGGUCCUAAGGUAGCGAAAUUCCUUGUCGGGUAAGUUCCGACCUGCACGAAUGGCGUAAUGAUGGCCAGGCUGUCUCCACCCGAGACUCAGUGAAAUUGAACUCGCUGUGAAGAUGCAGUGUACCCGCGGCAAGACGGAAAGACCCCGUGAACCUUUACUAUAGCUUGACACUGAACAUUGAGCCUUGAUGUGUAGGAUAGGUGGGAGGCUUUGAAGUGUGGACGCCAGUCUGCAUGGAGCCGACCUUGAAAUACCACCCUUUAAUGUUUGAUGUUCUAACGUGGACCCGUGAUCCGGGUUGCGGACAGUGUCUGGUGGGUAGUUUGACUGGGGCGGUCUCCUCCUAAAGAGUAACGGAGGAGCACGAAGGUUGGCUAAUCCUGGUCGGACAUCAGGAGGUUAGUGCAAUGGCAUAAGCCAGCUUGACUGCGAGCGUGACGGCGCGAGCAGGUGCGAAAGCAGGUCAUAGUGAUCCGGUGGUUCUGAAUGGAAGGGCCAUCGCUCAACGGAUAAAAGGUACUCCGGGGAUAACAGGCUGAUACCGCCCAAGAGUUCAUAUCGACGGCGGUGUUUGGCACCUCGAUGUCGGCUCAUCACAUCCUGGGGCUGAAGUAGGUCCCAAGGGUAUGGCUGUUCGCCAUUUAAAGUGGUACGCGAGCUGGGUUUAGAACGUCGUGAGACAGUUCGGUCCCUAUCUGCCGUGGGCGCUGGAGAACUGAGGGGGGCUGCUCCUAGUACGAGAGGACCGGAGUGGACGCAUCACUGGUGUUCGGGUUGUCAUGCCAAUGGCACUGCCCGGUAGCUAAAUGCGGAAGAGAUAAGUGCUGAAAGCAUCUAAGCACGAAACUUGCCCCGAGAUGAGUUCUCCCUGACCCUUUAAGGGUCCUGAAGGAACGUUGAAGACGACGACGUUGAUAGGCCGGGUGUGUAAGCGCAGCGAUGCGUUGAGCUAACCGGUACUAAUGAACCGUGAGGCUUAACCUU
rnacentral:rRNA from 1 species